GUAUUUGGACGCUGCGCCUCUCCAAUUGAAGUUCGGCUUAGCAGCUUCCAAGUGUAAUGCUACCAACAGCCAGUGCAAGGCAUAUCUCAGUGCAAUUAUUAUCUACCUUUAUACUAAUGACUACAAGCAAGCAGAGAUGUGUUAUAAUGACUGCUCUCAGAUUGAUGCUUUUUGCAAAAGUGACCAGAAUCGCUGUGCUAGCAAUCUCCUUGCUGCAUACUCAGAUGGAGACAUUGAAGAAAUCAAACGUAUCGCCCAAUCGAGCAGCAUUUCAAAUCUUGACCACUCGAUAACCUAAGUUUGUAUAUAU